rnacentral:rRNA from 1 species
AUUGAACGCUGGCGGCAUGCCUUACACAUGCAAGUCGAACGGUAACGGGCCUUCGGGUGCCGACGAGUGGCGAACGGGUGCGUAAUACAUCGGAACGUGCCCGAUCGUGGGGGAUAACGAGGCGAAAGCUUUGCUAAUACCGCAUACGAUCUACGGAUGAAAGCAGGGGACCGCAAGGCCUUGCGCGGACGGAGCGGCCGAUGGCAGAUUAGGUAGGUGGUGGGAUAAAAGCUUACCAAGCCGAAGAUCUGUAGCUGGUCUGAGAGGAUGAUCAGCCACACUGGGACUGAGACACGGCCCAGACUCCUACGGGAGGCAGCAGUGGGGAAUUUUGGACAAUGGGCGCAAGCCUGAUCCAGCCAUGCCGCGUGCAGGAUGAAGGCCUUCGGGUUGUAAACUGCUUUUGUACGGAACGAAAAGCCUUCUUUUAAUACAGGAGGGUCAUGACGGUACCGAAAGAAUAAGCACCGGCUAACUACGUG